GCGUCGAUGGUUAACAACGUAAAGCAUUUCCGCCCGGUCAGCAGCAGGAGGUGCGGGUUCGAGUCCCGCUUGGCGCC
rnacentral:tRNA from 1 species